rnacentral:misc_RNA from 1 species
UUUUGUUCGACAAAUUACUCAGAAAUACUACUGACAAUAGAGGACAAGGACCUCUGGCGGGGCUGGAGCGCACCAGGCGCUCGGCUCCCCGCCAAAGCAACAGAUAGGUUCGCAGGGGGUGAGUAGGUUUACUCGGUAAUGAUCCCUCCGCUGGUUCACCAACGGAGA